CUCUGCUACAUAUGUCACCGGAGCCAUGGACCCAUGCAUAUUCUUUGGUUGGUGGUUUAUUUCCUGGGAGCUCAGGGGGGACUGAUUAAUGAUAUUAUUGUUCUUCCUAUGGAGUUGCAAUCCCUUUCAGCUCCUUCAGCCCUUCCCUCAAUUUUUCCAUUGGAGUCCUGGGCUCAUUCUGGACAAAAAAUGGGGCAGAGACUAAAGGAAAGGCCAUCCAGAGACUGCCCUACCUUGGAAUCUAUCCCAUCUGAAGACACCAAACUCCAGCACUAUUGCGGAUGCCAAGAGAUAAAGCCACAAUGUAAGGUUCCAGGUGGCCACACUUAUUUGGAGACACCAUUUAACACGGUUCUGCUUCUACUUCCAUGAGAACCUAGUGAAGAAGACACAGCCAGAGCUUUGAUCAAAGAUUCCAAAUGCAAAUACAACUAACCACCCAACUGGUCCCAUCAGCCAAUGUAUCUCUUUGUUACCUCAAGGGAGAUUGAUUUACGCUUUCA
rnacentral:lncRNA from 1 species